AGCGCCUUUUCCUUCACUUCCGGCUGAGGCUUGCGUCACCUGACCUUUAAGCCAGUGAGAAUACAAGGAACUUCGAAACUUGUAGUGAGGCUAGUCAGCGCCAUUUUGGAAUUGGGCAGGAGACGACACCAAUUGGGAAACCUUGGACUAGACAUUUUUAGAUAGGAAUGCGGCAUCCGUUGUGGAAUUAGGUAGCCAUGAUUGUUUGGGGCAGAAGUCUGGCAGUUGAAGUGACUAAGCAAAUAAAACGUAGCUGGUAGCGAGCACGUUGGACUCUAAGGCAAGUUCCCUUCUUCAGAAUACCUCAUCUAACUGUAUGGAAACACCCAAUAAAGUUUGGGACUCGGCAAGUGUUUGAGCAGUUACCUUAAUCUAGCUGAAUGUUUUGCUGUCACACCACUGGUGAACUCUGCCAAGUGUACAUGAUGUAAAGGAAGAGUGAAACUGAGCAGAAAGCCUAUGUGAAGUGCGUGAAGCAGUG